AUUGAACGCUGGCGGCAGGCCUAACACAUGCAAGUCGAGCGGAUGAAGGGAGCUUUCUCCUGGAUUCAGCGGCGGACGGGCGAGUAAUGCCCAGGAAUCUGCCUGGCAGUUGGGGAUAACGUCCGGACACGGGCGCUAAUACCGUACACGUUCUGAUGGUGAAAGUGGGGGAUCUUCGGACCUCACGCUAUCAGAUGAGCCUAGGUCGGAUUAGCUAGUUGGUGGGGUAAAGGCCUACCAAGGCGACGAUCCGUAACUGGUCUGAGAGGGUGAUCAGUCACACUGGAACUGAGACACGGUCCAGACUCCUACGGGAGGCAGCAGUGGGGAAUAUUGGGCAAUGGGCGAAAGCCUGAUCCAGCCAUGCCGCGUGUGUGAAGAAGGUCUUCGGAUUGUAAAACACUUUAAGUUGGGAAGAAGAAAAGUAAAUUAAUACCUUGCUGUUUUGACGUUACCAACAGAGUAAGCACCGGCUAACUUCGUG
rnacentral:rRNA from 1 species